CCUACGGGAGGCUGCAGUGAGGAAUAUUGGUCAAUGGGCGCGAGCCUGAACCAGCCAAGUCGCGUGAGGGAAGACGGUCCUAUGGAUUGUAAACCUCUUUUGUCGGGGAGCAAAAGACGCCACGCGUUGCGUUCCGAGAGUACCCUACGAACAAGCGUCGGUUAACUCCGUGCCAGCAGCCGCGGUAAUACGGGGGAUGCGAGCGUUAUCCGGAUUUAUUGGGUUUAAAGGGUGCGCAGGCGGAAGAUCAAGUCAGCGGUAAAAUUGAGAGGCUCAACCUGUUCGAGCCGUUGAAACUGGUGUUCUGGAGUGAGCGAGAAGUAGGCGGAAUGCGUGGUGUAGCAGUGAAAUGCAUAGAUAUCACGCAGAACUUCGAUUGCGAAGGCAGCAUACCGGCGCUCAACUGACGCUCAUGCACGAAAGUGUGGGUAUCGAACAGGAUUAGAUACCCUGGUAGUC
rnacentral:rRNA from 1 species